rnacentral:rRNA from 1 species
GAUGAACGCUGGCGGUGUGCCUAAUACAUGCAAGUCGAGCGAACAGACGAGGAGCUUGCUCCUCUGACGUUAGCGGCGGACGGGUGAGUAACACGUGGAUAACCUACCUAUAAGACUGGGAUAACUUCGGGAAACCGGAGCUAAUACCGGAUAAUAUAUUGAACCGCAUGGUUCAAUAGUGAAAGACGGUUUUGCUGUCACUUAUAGAUGGAUCCGCGCCGCAUUAGCUAGUUGGUAAGGUAACGGCUUACCAAGGCAACGAUGCGUAGCCGACCUGAGAGGGUGAUCGGCCACACUGGAACUGGGACACGGUCCAGACUCCUACGGGAGGCAGCAGUAGGGAAUCUUCCGCAAUGGGCGAAAGCCUGACGGAGCAACGCCGCGUGAGUGAUGAAGGUCUUCGGAUCGUAAAACUCUGUUAUUAGGGAAGAACAAAUGUGUAAGUAACUAUGCACGUCUUGACGGUACCUAAUCAGAAAGCCACGGCUAACUACGUG